CAGGUUGACCAGAUGAUCGCGGCACAAAUUGUGUCGAGGAAAGUCCGCACUCCAAAGAGCGAGAUGCCGGGUAAUACCCGGAGCGGGAAUGCCUUUUUAGGUAACCUGCUAGAUCGGGCCACAGAAACAAACUGCCUUAUGGGCGAUGGUGAAAUGGUGGUGUAAGAGACCACCGGCGAUUGUAGUAAUACAACGGCCAGGCAACCCUCAUCUGGAGCAAGGCCAAGCAGGAACAUAGCCAUUUGGCAGGAGGCUGCUCGUCUCCUUAUAAGUUCCGGGUAGGCUGCACGAGUGAAUUGGUGACAAUUCACCUAGAGAGAUGAUCAUCCUUUGAAUUGCCGUCCGAAGAGGAUACCCAAUGAAAAGACAGAAUGCGGCUUAUUGGUCGACCUGGUAU
rnacentral:RNase_P_RNA from 1 species